rnacentral:lncRNA from 1 species
GUGGGCCCGCCACGUGCUGGGGGCGCCCCCACGCCCCCGUGGUUACUGACUGUGUUGCUAUGCUACAGAUCUCUGGAUGAUGUCAACUGCUUCUGACAAUUGAAGUAAUUAUUUGGCUUGCCCAGUCCCUUCUCUACUUCCAACUCUUCAUCAGUCCUUGAU